CCCAAAUUAGGUAUGUAUAUAAAUUGGAUCGGGUAAUUAUGGAAGCUGAAGUGCCAUUUGCAAGCUGGAAAUCAGGAAAGCCUGUGGUGUAUUCGGUCCAAGUUUGAAGGCUUCAUAACCAGGAGUGCAAAUACCUGAGAUCGGGAGAAGACGGAUGUCCGAACAGAAGCAAAUUCGCUCGUUUCUUUUCUUUGUUUUGAGACACAGUUUCGCUCUGUUGCCCAGGCUGGAGUGCAGUGGCGCGAUCUGAGCUCACUGCAGCCUCUGCCUCCCGGGUCGAAGCGAUUCUCCUGCCUUAGCCUUCCUAGUAGCCGGGAUUACAGGCGUGUGCCACAUUGGCUAAUUUUUUUUUGUAUUUUUUCUAGUAGAAAGGAGGUUUCACCAUCUUCUCCAGGCUGGUCUCAAACUCCUGGCCUCAAGUGAUCCACCCGCCUCCGCCUCCCAAAUUACUGGAAUUACUGGCAUGAGCCACUGCGCCCGGUCAGCUCACGGUGGGGCUUCUUUGUGCGUCUAUUGGGCUCCCACCUGCUGUUAUGCCAUGUGUCCACCAGGCGGCGCCAACACACACCGCUGUAGCCCCUCCAGGCAAGUUAGAGACUGGACAGAGAGGGGCGGGACCAGACGGUGAGGUCCUUUGAAGAAGCAGGUCCUUAGAGAGGGCGUGGUUGAGACAGGCUAUUCCCACACGGGGGUCUCCUGCGGGCGGAGAAACUCCAAAUUCUGGGGAGCAGGAGACAGGUAGUGUUAUGGGCUGAAUAAUCACUGCUAAAGAAACACAUGUCACAAUCCCUGGAACCUGCGAAUGGUAACUUAUGGCAAAAGGACUUUGCAGACGGGAUGAAGUUAAGAAUCUUGAGAUGGGGAGAUUCUCCUGGGUUAUGUGGGUGGCCCUCAAUGGAAUCCCAAGUGUGCUUGCAAGAGAGAGACUGAGUUCUAAACACAGAGGAGGAAGUGAGGUGGUGGGAACAGAAGCACGAGGGUGCGUGAUGUCAGAAAGGGGCUGGAGCAAGGGAUGCGGCAGCCUCUAGAAGGGGAAGAAGCAGCACAGAUGCUCCCCGAGGCCUCCAGCUCAGCGCAGCCCUGCCAGCACCUCGAGCUGACACGCCUGACUCAAAAGCCAUAAGGACAUCAAUUUAUGUGAAUUUAAGUGACAAGUUUGGGGCCACUUGUAGCGACAACUAUGAGAAACUCCUACAGGCAGAAACAAGGCACAGAGGCAAUGGAAAAAGCCGUGAUGCCUUCUGAAUCCACCUGUUUGCUCCCAGUUGUGACUCCUGCAAAGCAUCUCACCAAUCCAUUCCCUGCCCAGGUGAUGUGUGCAUAGACUUCUCCGUGGAAAUAAUAUCCACUGGGAGGCCAAGGCGGGCAGAUCACGAGGUCAAGAGAUGGAGACCAUCCUGGCCAAGAUGGUGGAACCCUGUCUCUCCUAAAAAUACAAAAAAUAGCCAACAGCGGCGGCUCACGCCUGUAGUCCCAGCUAUUCUAGAGGCUGAGGCAGAGGAAUCGCUUGAACCCGGGAGGCGGAGGUUGCAGUGAGCCAAGAUCGCGCCACUGCACUCCAGCCUGGCAACAGAGCAAGCCUCCAUCAAAAAAACAAAACGAAACACAACACAAAAACCGGCCUUGAGUGGAUAGAAGACCACAUGACAAGAACAUUCCGGCAGUCAGGAGACAAUGGGUAGUGUGGCUUCUUCGCUAAAUGGUAGGUUAAACUGAGUUAGUCACUGAAGAGAAAGAAGAUAAAGGAGAAGAUGGGUGAGGGUGAGAGAAUGUGGGAUGGCGAAAGGAAAGGACUAAAGGUUUCCUGAGGCCUCAUCAGGUACCGGGCUCUGCGUCUAACAAUGCCUUCCACAUAUUAACGUACCCAUUCAGUGUCAUUUUCAGAUGCAGUAAGAGUGACCCUUGUGUUGGAUGAGAAGAGGCUGAAGGGAGUGGUCCAGGUCACCCAGCCAGUUCAUAGCAGAGCUCGUGUGUUUCACCUUGAAGUUUGUGCUCUUCUCUGUGAUUCCGACAGAAAAGUGAGACACAGAAGGAAGGCAAAGCAAUUUUUUGUUGUGGGUGAAGUUGACAAAAGGUACCUGUAUUAGGCAGAGUAAUGGCGUCCUGAAAAUAUCCACAUCCUAAACCCUGGACCCUGUGUAUGUUACUUUAUUUGGCAAAAAUAAUAAUAAUAAUGGCCGGGUGCGGUGGCUCACGCCUGUAAUCCCAGCACUUUGGGAGGCCAAGGCGGGUGGAUCACGAGGUCAAGAGAUCGAGACCAUCCUGGUCAACAUGGUGAAACCCCGUCUCUACUAAAAAUACAAAAAUUAGCUGGGCCUGGUGGCGCACACCUGUAGUCCCAGCUACUCGGGAGGCUGAGGCAGGAGAAUUGCCUGAACCCAGGAGGCAGAGGUUGCGGUGAGCCGAGAUCAUGCCAUUGCACUCCAGCCUGGGUAAUAAGAGCAAAACUCCGUCUCAAAAAAAAAAAAAAAAAUAAUAAUAAUAAUAAUACUUUGCAAAUGAGAUGAAGUUAAGGAUCUUGAGACAGGAGGUUAUUCUGGAUAAUCUGGGUGGGCUCAGUGUCAUUAGAAGGGUCCUUGUAAGGGAAAGCAGGAGGCAGGAGGGUCAGGGUGAGAAUGAUGCAGGCUGAGAGACUCCACUGGCCAUUGCUGGCUGUGAACAUGUAUCAAAAGACGAAAUUACAACAAACUCAGUUAUAGAUCUAAUUGGCUUUUAUUUGUGAUUCACAAACCACGGCAGCUUCCAUUCUACAAAAUACAGUGAUAGCUCUCACUGGGCAAUACAAUAGGAGAAUAGUGGGCUAAUGGGAAUCCAGGAACAGAAGAAUAGAAAGAAAUUGAUCGGUCGAUUUCAAAAUACUUCGUAUUACUUUUUUCUAAGAGUUAAGGCAGAAAGGACUUUCCUACUAUGCUGAUUCGGACGGUCUGGACUCUCCCGUCUUUAGGAAAACUUUGUCUGUUCUGGGAUCUGCCUGCUCCCUCAAUGUUUCAGUGUAUGUGGCAUUUAGCAUGGAACUAAACACCUACAAAUGGAGCCCCAUUCUGGAGUCACUAGGCUCUCACCUAGAUGAGAGUUUGACAAAAUAUAAAGCAUUAACACUGCUGUCAUUGCCAUCAUUUUGGACUUCCCUCAUUCAUAGGUUAUGACACAUAACCCAUGUCACACAUUUCUUCCAGUUUUCAUCAUUUCAGCCAAAGAAAAUAUCUGACAUUUGAUGGAUGGCUGCAUGCAAACAUUUAAAGUGUUUAGAGAAUACAGCACACAAUCGAGAGGGAUAACACCAAGGGUUUGGGGUAUGAUCCAUAGGCAGGGUCCCCAUGAACAAAACCAAAAAGAAUGAGCCACAUGAGGAGCCUACCCAUUUGAACCCAAGGAGCAUGUCUGUUAAUUUUUGCAACUGAGCCUCUAUAAAAUCCGCUGUAUUUAUCUAUGUGCAACAAAAAGUGUCCGCAACUGCACAAACGCCUCCCUGUUCAGCUAGCAGGGAGCAAAUCUAUUAUCUAUCCCACGGCUGGGUCAAAUUAAAACCGGGGAUGAGAACAGGUGAGUCUAAGGUCCAACGCUAAAAGGGACCACCGUACAUUUGAGAAAACAGUUGUAUUAGGGAUGUUGUUGAAAGCCAGCCAUUGGAUGGAAUAAAGGAUCCCUUAGGUCAAGUAAAGAUUUGGGUUUGACAUGAUGACAUGAUGGAUCCAACACUCUGUCAAAUUACAGGCACAAGCCACUGACUGUGAAAUCCCAGUUAUAGCAUCAUCCUGCCAAAUUAAAGACGCAGGCAUGAGCAGGAAAAAAUGGAGCGGAGUAAGAACCUCAUCAUGGUGGGGCAUCCGGUUCUGACAUCCUGGGAAAAGCUGUCCACAGCAUGAAGUCUUCAACUUCUCAUCCCGGUUGGUAGUUUGUCUCUCUUGUUACAGUGUUGAACGUUUUGGUGAGCUCUGAGUGAGCCACAUCUCAGGCACGAGGGUUUUCCCUUGAAAUUUACGUUGAGUUGUCCACCUACAGCUUAUAGGGCUUCAGGAAGAGAGCAGGUCUUGUACUUAGUGAUUCCACAGGAGAAAAUAGGAUUGAAGGAACAAGAAGAAUUCAGGGUCCAGUCCAGUCUACAGGUGGACAAUACAAACUGAAAAACAGCAUACAGGGCUAUAAUUUGAUAACUGUUGCUUCAUGUUUUUUCUUCUGAACAUAAUUUUUCUCUGUCUCUCCCUGUUUGUACCAAAGUUAAUCAGAGUAAGACUAAUUUGUUUACAAAAUAGGUAGAGUCUCAUCAAACUUGGCCUGAUUAUUUAUAUAAGAAGUACAGCAAGAAUAGCAAUUGACCACAUAGGAUCUUUUCAAGUGUGCUUUGCUGGAAGGUUUGAUAAGGAAUCUCAGAUAAACUUUUUUUUUUUUUUUUUUUUGAGACGGAGUUUUGCUCUUGUUACCCAGGCUGGAGUGCAAUGGCACGAUCUCGGCUCACCGCAACCUCCGCCUCCUGGGUUCAGGCAAUUCUCCUGCCUCAGCCUCCUGAGUAGCUGGGAUUACAGGCACGUGCCACCAUGCCCAGCUAAUUUUUUGUAUUUUUAGUAGAGACGGGGUUUCACCAUGUUGACCAGGAUGGUCUCGAUCUCUUGACCUCAUGAUCCACCCGCCUCGGCCUCCCAAAGUGCUGGGAUUACAGGCUUGAGCCACCGCACCCGGCCAGCUCAGAUAAACUUUAAAAAGCUUCUCAGCACUAGGAAGCCAAACCAAGGCUUUGCCUGCAGUACCUAUGGGUUUCUUCUAUGUGUAUUUCCAAAUAUGACAUCCCAGCCAAAGCCUUGGUAAUAUAACCAAUAUUUUUAAAUGUAUCCUGUUAUAAACAGAACCGAUUCUUAAUGAACGUAUGCAAAUAACUACUGCCAUAGUAAUGUAAAUAACCAUGAAUAGUUGCCCAAUUCUGGAUGAAAAAUGUAGAGAGAAAAAUUAAUGUUUCAAUUUUUGUUCACAAGUUGUACUUUCCCAAAUUUCUGUAAGCUAUGGAUAGCUUAAAAGAAAGCAUUUCUUUAAUCUGGAAAACAAAACAUUUAAAGAAUCAGCAAAACUUCAACUAAAAAUUCAUUGAAACAUUAUCCUUGGCAAGGCGCAGUGGCUCAUGCCUGCAAUCCUAGCACUUUGGGAGGCCGAGGCGGGUAGAUCACCUGAGGUCAGGAGUUCGAGAACAGCCUGGCCAACAUGGUGAAACUCUGUCUCUACUAAAAAUACAAAAAUUAGCUAGGCGUGGUGGCACAUGCCUGUAGUCCCAGCUACUCGAGAGGCUGAGGCAGGAGAAUCGCUUGAACACAGGAGGUGGAGGUUGCAGUGAGCAAAGAUCACGCCAACGCACUCCAGCCUGGGAGACAAGAGGGAGACUUUGUCUCAAAAAAUUGAAAAUAAAAAAAUUAUCCUCAGUAGUUCAUUUAGUUUCAUGAAAUUACUUUUUUGUUCUGCUUGAUCUUGGUUGGCGGUUUCACGAAGCUCUCUCUUCAUUAAAAUUUUGGAAAUUCUUAGCCCAAUGGUAUGACUCUAAAGUUACCAGAAACCUGUAUUCAAGACAACUUGUCAGAGUGUUAUCCAUAAAUCUCCUUGAAAAGAGGCCGGGUGUGGUGGCUCAAGCCUGUCAUCCCAGCACUUUGGGAGGUUGAGGCGGGUGGAUCAUGAGGUCAAGAGAUCGAGACCAUCCUGGUCAACAUGGUGAAACCCCGUCUCUACUAAAAAUAUAAAAAAUUAGCUGGGCAUGGUGGCGCGUGCCUGUAAUCCCAGCUACUCAGGAGGCUGAGGCAGGAGAAUUGCCUGAGCCCAGGAGGCGGAGGUUGUGGUGAGCUGAGAUCGCGCCAUUGCACUCCAGCCUGGGUAACAAGAGCGAAACUCCGUCUCAAAAAAAAAAAAAAAAAGAAAGAAAAUCUUCUUGAAAAAGAAGGAGUUUUGGACUGUAACUAUUUCCAACUGCUUUUAGAGAAGAAUCAGAACAACUGUUUGUGAAUGACAAAGACUUAAACGGCUGUGGUUAGAAAUCCGACAAGAUUUCAGAUGUGACAGAUUUGAAGACAAUGACACCACUCACAAGGAAUUUUGGUUCUUUCUGUGGCAUGUAACACUGCGAGUGAUAAAAUAUUAGAUUUCUAAAAAUCUCACAUAAUUUUUGAAACAUUCAUGUCAGGAACGUACCCGCAAAUAUAGCUUAGAGAAGGUCUGGCAUCACUUUAUCAUUUGACAGUGUUUUCCAUAUAAUUUAACAGAUCAAAUAAGGUGAAUUUUCAUUUAGCUUCUGUUUCUCAGCUGGAUUACUGAGUUCAGGGAAUAGCCCAUUAACAAAUGUGGCCAAAAAUGGAUAAGUUUAUGUAUGUCGAAACAGUUCCCCGGGUAAUUUUGAUACACACCCGUAGCUAAAAACCAUUGGUUUAAGCCCAAGUCCUACUUCUCAGAGCAGGGGUUCCGCAUCCUGGAUGCUCACGGCAGCAUGUGGGAGGCUGAAAUAACGCUGCCUCGGUCCCGCUCUAGACCAUUACAUCAAAAUGUCUGAGUAGAGCCUGGGAAUCAGUUGUUCUUUUAAACAAUUUCCCAGGGAUUCCACUGUGUAUCCGUAUGUCCCAUUAGGUUUCUCUUUUUUUUUUUUCAUAGAAUUUAUCUUUUUCUAUUUUGGUAUUACAAUUAUUUUUCAUGUCUUAUUUUUUGGAGACAGGGUCUUGCUGUGUUGCCCAGGUUGGAGUGCAAAGGCACAAUCAUAGCUCACUGCAGCCUUGGACUCCUGGGCUCGAAGGAUCCUCCCACCUCAGCUUCCCAAAGCACUGAGAUGACAGCUGUGAGCCUAUGCACCUGGCCCUUUGGCUUAUCUUCUGUCUCAGGCUUUAUGUUCCCUGGAGUAGGGACCCUGCCUUCUUCAUUUCUGUAUCUUUCAUGAACACACAAAUUGGUUAUCAGAAAAAGAUUCUCAGCCAUGCUUAGGUUGUGUCCUGAGUCUCAGGUUCACAUGUUAAUGCCACAGUCUUUGUUCUCCACAAGGGCAGAGGUUGCUUGUGAUGAAGGCUGUGGGUAACUCCACAGUGCAGAUGGUGGAGGAAGGUUACCUUGUUUUUAGGCAUAACAUUGGAACUAAGAACUCUAUGUGUACAUGGGGUGGAGGGGCAGGGAUAUAUAGGAAGACAGAUCUAAUUAGGAUGGAGAAAUUAUACUCAGGAGUAGUGGUAAAGGAAGUAAAAAGGAUUAGUGAAGAGAAGAAAUGUGAACUUAUCUAACAGGCUACAGUAGGCCCCUGCAGGUUCUUGAGUAGGUGAGUGAACUAGAUUUUAGGAAGGUAUUGAGGCAGCCAAAUGCAAGAAAAAUGUCAAAGACUUCAGACAGGAAGUCAAGCAGGACUUCAAGCAGUUGUUGAGGUUUAUGGGAAUGAAGAGAACAGUACAAGUGGGAGAAGUUUUAAAAAGGACCGAGAGGCUUUCACAAGGUAUUGAACUGGGGAAACAAACGAGCAGAGGCUGAGAGUAGUCAUAUCUAAGAGACAGUGGGGUACAGGGAGCAUGAAGACUAGGGAAGAAGAGACCAGCAGGAAUUAGUGUGAGAAGCAGGAGUUUAGGGGUAGGAGGAGGAGAUCUAGUCCCAGAUGCAGGUGAAGAAGUCCUUUCCCUCUCCCGAGCGUGGUGGUCAGCACUGUGGGAAACAGGACAGGAGGAAAGGCCACCAUACCUGCCAGUCUUCCUGAAAUGCAGAAACUACACCAGGGCUGCUAUCAGAGCCACCCCAGCCAGCACUCCAGUCAUGAUGCUGACAGUGGUCCCAGCUGAGACAACAGGACCGCCUGAUACUGAAAAAAAAAAAAAGAGAAGGAGUGGAGGUGAUGUUAUUUUACAAUGGGGUGCCCCAGGUGCCAGCUCUCAGCAUGAAGUAGUCUCCACUUGUUCCUUCAAGGAAUGCAUUCGUUUUGCAGGAAGGUUCACAUUUUUUCUCUCUCACUGUGUUUCUAGUUGGUGAUUAGUCUUCUGCCAAUUCCAUCCUGGCCUUUCCACACUCAGAUAUUUCCGAAGGCUUUGAAAUUUAUAAAGACCGAUUGCUAUUUUUGCGUCUCAUUAGAACUUUCUAUCUUUUCAUGGUUGCAUCUUUUUCUCAGUGUCUCAGUUGAGGAGGCAUAAGUACGAGUCUGUGGGGUCUCUAUGACAGGGACUUGAUUGACACAAGGCCCCGGCUGGAGCCUUCUGUGUUUCCUAAGUCCUGUGUACACAGAACUCGCCUCUCAUGGGCUCCCAGCAGGGGAAUGCAAUCUCGGUUCUGGGAGACUCUGCUUCUCUCUUAAGGGUGAGGACUCCCCAUCAGCCUUGUGGAAACUCUGAGAACCGCAUCACCGUCUAAAACUCUCUCCUCUUUCUCCUGCUCAGGAAUCAGAUCUGCGUCGUGGUCUGAGGGCUGUCUCAGACCCCUCCCACUCCUACUCUGCUUUUCCUCAUGGUUGUUUUCCCCAAUAAAUUACCUGGCACCUCUAACCCCAUCUCGGCUGCAUCUCAGUGGGUAAAAACUAACAAACUCGGCUUGAUUCUUUGCACUUAACUUUUUUUCUGUCUCCCAUUUUUCGCCAGUAGCCAUGUCCUGGUGGGUUUUCAUUUGGGGCUCAGCUCUUACCCGUCAACUCGGGCUGACGGUUAAUGCCAUGUUAGCUACUGGACAUGCUUAUCUGGUGCCUCAUUUGAUCCACACAAUCACCCUGUUGGGUAGACAUGAUUUCCAUUUUACAGAUGAAAUGACAGAGCCUUAGAGUGGUGAAGAAACCUACCCAAAGUCAUAUGGGUAGUGAGAAGUCGACCUCGGACCUGAUGCUAGGACUGCCUGACUUCAACCUCCUGCUAACAGUGGUAAUAAGAGCAGCUGACCUUGUGCAGUUUUCCUCUGUGGGUGGCAUUUUGCUGAAGGCCUAAUCAAAUAGUACAUUAAAUCUUUAAACCAUACUAUGAAACAGGCACUCUCAUGGCAAUUUCAUUCCCUUCAAUUCUGGUGAUGAGAAUUAUUACGAUUUUCAGUUGAAGAACUGAAGGCUCAGAGAAGUUACGAAUCUUGUGCGAGAAAUUUAAAAUGGUAAAUACAUUAAAAAUAAAGAGAGGCCUCAAAUCAACAACCAAGCGUUACCACUUCAGGAUAGAGAGAAAGAACAACCUCAAACCACAGAUAGUGCAUGAAGGAAAUAAUAAGGAUUCGAGUUUAAAUAAAUAAAUGGAAAAUAGAAACACAAGAGAAGGAAUCAAUGAAACCAAACGUUGGUUCUUCAAAAAAGAUUGACAAAAUCGACAUUUACUAGAUUGACCAAGGAAAAAGAGGAGAUUCAGAUUACUAAAUCAGAAAUGAAAAUGGAGGUAUGGUGGUUCACACCUUUAAUCCCAGCACCUUGGGAGACUCAAGUAGGAGGAUUGCUUGAGGUCAGGAGGUCGAGACCAGCCUGGGCAACAUAGGGAGACACGAUCUCUACAAAAUUUCUUUAAAAAACGAUCCAGGCAUGAUGGCACAUGUCUGUGUUCCCAGCUUCUCAAGAGGCUGAGGUAGGAGGAUCACUUGAGCCUGGGAGGUCGAGGCUGCAGUAAGCUAUAUGAUGGCACCACUGCACUCUAGCUUGGACUGGGCUACAGAGUGAGACUCUAUCUAUUAAAAAAAAGGAAAAGAAAAUGGCGACAUUGCUACCAGUUCUACCAAUUCUACAGAAAUAUUAAAGAUUACAAGAGUGCUAUGAAUCAUUGUAUGCCAACAAAUUGUUGAAUAACCUAGAUGAGAUGGACAAAUUCUUGGAAACUUUUAACAGAUCGAUAAUUAGAUAGAACCAAUAAAAGCAUCUGACAAAAUAGAACAUUCUUUCAUAAUAAAAACUUUCCAUGAAUGGAAGGAAACCGCCUUAAUAUAAUAAAGGCAACAUGUGAAAAGCCCAAAACUAACAUGAUGCUCAACGGAGAGAGACUGAAAGCUUUCCCUGUAAGACCCGGACAAGGACACCUGCUUCCGCCACUUUUAUUCAGCGUAGUAUUAGAAGCCCGAGCCAGAGAAACUGGAAAGAAAGAUGAAGACAUCCAAAUUGGAAAGAAGAAGUAAAAUGAUCUCUGUUCGCAGAUGUCGUGAACUUAUAUGUAGAAAACCCUAAAGAUGAAAAAAAACCUGUUAGAAUCAAUAAAUAAGUUCGGGAACGCUGUAGGAUACAAAGUCAACACGCAAACAUCAGUUGUGCUUCCACACGUUAACAACGAGCAAUCUGAAAGAAAUUAGGAAAAAAUUCCCCAUUCACAUUAAUAUAAAAUAGUAUAAAAUAUUUACAAAUAAGUUUAAAAGGAGGUGAAAAGAUUAUACCUUGAGCUGGAAGAAAUUAAAGAUGACAUGAAUAAGUGGAAAGACAUUGGGUUUUCAUGGAUGGGAAGACUCAGUGUUGGGAGGACAGCACUACCCACAGUGAGCUGCAGGUUCAGUGCAAUUCCCACCAGAGUCCCAGUGACAGUUUUGGCGGAAAUAGAAAAACCUAUCCUAAAAUUCAUAUGGCAUCUCGGGACUCUAAACAGCCAACAACCUGGAAAAUAAAGAAUGAAGCUGGAGGACUCACGCGUCCUGACUCAGCAUUUACUCUAAAGCCACAGUAACCGAUGCUCAGUGUGGUACUGGCCUAAAGGAAGAUACUGAAGCCAAUGACACGGAAUAGGGAGCCCAGGAAGAAAUGCUUGAAUAUAUGGCUAAAUGCUCUUUGGUGAGAGCGCCAUGAGCAUUUAGUGGGGAAAGGACAGUCUUUUCAACAAAUGCUAUGGGGAAAGCUGGAUAUCCAUGCAUAUGAACCAGCUGAAUCUUUACCUGACACUGUGUAUGAAAUUAACCUAAAAUGGAUCAAAGCCCUAAACAUAAGAGUGAAAAGUAUAAAACCCUGAGAAGAAAACAUAGGAAAAAAGUUUUGUGACAUUGAAUUUCAUAGUGAUUUCUUGGUUAUAACAACAAAAGCAUGAGCAACAAAAGAAAAAUGGAAAAGCUGGACUUCAUGAAAAUUAAAAACUUUUAUGUAUCAAAGAACAUUAUGGAGAAAGUGAAAACGCAACCUAUGAAAUAGGAAAAAUAUUUGCAAAUCAUAUAUAUGAUAGGGGAUUAAUUUCCAGAAUAUAUGAAGAACUACUGUAAAUGAACAACCACAAAAAUCCAAAACCCAAUUAAAAGAAUGGACAAAGGACUAAAAUAGAGAUUUCUCCACGAAAGAUACACAAAUAUCCAACAAGCAUAUGCAAAGAUGCUCAAUACCACGAAGACUUAGGGAUACGCAAAUGAAAACCGCAGUGAGACUCUACCCCACGCACGUUAGGAUGGCUUUGACAGGAAAAGAACACGGAGCCAUACGUGCUUUCAAGGAGGCGGACACACUGGAACUCCAGUGCAUUGCUGAUAGAAAUGCGAAAUAUUAGCUACUGUGGAAAAUGGUAUGGUGGUUCCUCAAAAAAUAAAACAAUUAACAAUCGAUCCACCAAUUCCUUUUUGUGGACACACACCCAAAAGAACUGAAGGCAGCAAUUUAACAGAUGUUUGAACACUGAUGCUCAUGGCGGCAUUACUCUCAAUAGCCAAAGGUGGAAAGAACUGAAAAGUCCAUUGGAAGAUGAGUGGAUGGAAAUGAGGGAUAUCCACACAACGGAUGUUACUUCACCUUAACCAGGAAUGAAACUGUGGUACAUGGUGCAAAAUGGAUGAAUCUUGAAGACAUUCUGCUAAGUGAAAUAAGCCGGACACAAAAGGACAACCUGAUAUAAUUCCAUUUCUAUAAGAUAGAAUAGUUGAUUACCCAGAGACAGAAAGUAGAAUGGAGGUUCCCAGGAGUUAGGGGGAGAAGGAGUGAGAGUUACUGUUUAUUGGGUACAGAGGCUUAGUAUGGUAAGAUGAAAUAGUUCUGGAAAUGAAUAGUGUGAUGGUUACACGAGAGUAUAAAUAUACUUGACUUCUUUUUUUUUUUGAGACGGAGUCUCAGUUGUCACCCAGGCUGAAGUGCAGUGGUGCCAUCUCAGGUCACUGCAACCUCCACUCCCCAGGUUCAAGUGAUUCUCCUGCCUUAGCCUCCUGAGCAGCUGGAAUUACAGGCGCCCACCACCAUGCCCAAUUAAUUUUUUUUAUUUUGUAUUUUUAGUAGAGACAGGGUUUCACCAUGUUGAUCAGGCUGGCCUCAAACUCCUGACCUCAGGUUAUCCAUCUGUCUCAGCCUCCCAAAGUGCUGAGAUUACAGGCAUGAGCCAUCACACGCAGCAAUAUACUUGAUUUAUAUUUAUGCUGUGUCACUUAACUGUACACUUAGAAAUGGUUAAUGUUGGCUGGGCAUGAUGGCUCACGCCUGUAAUCCCAGCACUUUGGAGGCCGAGGGGGGCGGAUCACGAGGUCAAGAGAUCGAGACCAUCCUGGCCAUGGUGAAACCCCAUCUCUAAUAAAAAUUUUAAUUUUGUAAAAAUACAAAAAUUAGCCGGGCAUGGUGGCAUGUGCCUGUGGUCCCAGCUACUCGGAAAGCUGAGGAGGAAGAAUCGCUUGAACCCAGGCGGAGGUUGCAGUGAGCCAAGAUUGUGCCACUGCACUCCAGCCUGGCAACAGAGUAAGACUCCGUCUCAAAAAAAAAAAAAAAAAAAAAAGAAAUGGUUAAUGAUAAGUUUUAUGAUAGACAGAUACAGUGGCCGGUAGUCUUGCCCUCUCUAUAAAUCCACACUUUUUGGCACUGCCUCCCAUGCAGAGCCACCCACCAUGGCUGAAUCUCCCCACUUCUCCAAGUAUGUGUCGCUCACUGUCCUCUGUGCUGUGUCCUCAUACAGCCAGUGACUUCAGGGCCAGGACACAGCGCAGGAGUCCGUCCGAGGCUCCCUCUCUUCCCAUUUCCCUGAAACCUUACCCGGGGGAGGCUCUGCUGUGGAAGGGCAGCUCGAUUUAGCCAGAUUCAGAACAGCCCACCUGGACACCUUCUCUACACGCCCCAGUCCCACCCCAAGUGCAGUCAGGGCAGAGCCAGACACUGGGGGAGCUGGUGCAGAGCAGGGAGCAGAGUCUGAGCUGCUCCUCCCUUAUCCAAGGGGCUUCCUCCUCUCGUUUGGGGAAAAAGUGUGAGCUUGUUUCAAAGCCUCCUUGUUCCUUGUAGCUCACAGAGUAGGUUAAAACUAAAACAAAAAACAAAGAGGUGACAAAAAGGGACGUAUUGAUGAGCAAAAGACCAUUUAAGCACUCUUAAGGACCCUUCCUGCUCUCCCCUCUGUGAAGCCCCUUCCACUACAUGGGGCUUUGGAGCUGAGGGAGCCCCCUCCGCACAUUCCGGGCUGGAUCCAUAAUCAUCCAUGAGAAAUUACUGAAGCAAGAGGAGGAGGGUCUGCAGGGACAGACUGAGAGGGUUCAGGGCAGAAUUUGAGAUCUGCUUGUGCCGAUGGGACACAGGCUGGAAAAGAAAAUUUUUUCAACUCUUCCUUAACACCAGAGAGACUCCACCUCAAAAUACGAUGCCGACGGUCCAGGGACCUGUGUACCAUGGUCUGUGAUCAUCUCAACUGCAGUCCUCUUGCGGCCAGUGGCCAAUUCAUAGGCCUGGCAGGUACAGGACACGCUAUUCUUUGCAGUGCUUCGGGGAUGAAGAGUUUCUGCAUGUGCUGCAGAAGCUUUCCAUCACUCAGCCAAAAAUACCAUGCGGGUUAGAAGCCGCAUGGCUAAAGAGCCUGAUAUGUGCUCCUAACCUGUAAUAUGUGUCUGGGGUAGAAAUGGUGGGGGUGCCCACGCCACCUGGAGCAAAGAGAAUAAAGCCAUAGGUGAGGGAAGCGGAAGCUCCUGGUCUGUGAGGGCCGCAGUGUCCCUCUUACCCAAGUCACCACCCUGAAUUCCCACCCAAACCCCGGCUGUGUUCACUGUGCUGGAGCCUGAGACAUUCGCCUGUUUCUCCCAUAACAGGCUAUGGACCCUGAGCCUCCCAGGAUGGGAGCAGCUCCUCCUCUCAUAUUCCUGGUCCAGGCUGGGGCUGCCCAGGUUUGCCUGGGGCAGGAAGUCAUGGCCAGCCUGGUGUCCAGGGUUAAGGGUCUGUGUACUCGGACCUAAGAGGGACUGAGAGUCCUGCCUCAGGCUGGCUGGAUUUGGGCUGGCAGCCUGGGCCUCGGAGGAAGAGAAGAUACUCACAGCGGACAUUGAGGGUGACUGGGUCGCUGCGGCUGGCACUCAGUGUGUUCUGUAUUUCACAUUCAUAGGGUCCUGUGUCAUUCCUUGUGACACUGAUUAGAAUGAGGGUCCUGUUGUCACUGGAGAGCACCAGCCUGGAACUGACGGGGCGGCUCUGAUUGUUCACCCACCACAGGGUACAAAGGGUCCAGGAGAGAGAAGCUGAGGAAAGACCUGAAGAAGUCGCAUCUGUUCUGGCCAGACAGGAAAACCAUCUGCUGCUGAACCAGCGAAUGUUGGCCCAGGAAAGAGACAGAGGACCCAGGAAAGCAGUCAGACCACCGGGGUUAGCCUGAGAGGAAGGGUCGAGGCCCCUGAGAGAAAGCAGGGGAAUCCCGAGGAACAGAGGGAGAGCCCAGGGCUGGCUGCACGUGCAGGACACUGGGGGACCACAUGUGUCUUGGAUUCUCCCUGAUCUCAGUGUCCCUGUCACGGCCAGACCCUCUGCUCAGGCCUGGACAUGCUGAAAUGGGACAAUGGCCUUGUCCUCUCUCUCCACCAUUUGGCAAGAGAUGUAAAGGACAUUCCAGGACAUGCUGUCCUGGCAGGCCCUGGUUCUCUGUCCCAUACCUCAGGGACUGCAGUUACUGCAUCAGCUAUGGUGGGUGCUGAUCCUGCCCAGUCUGUCCAUGCUCUUCCAUUCUCCACUGUGUGACUACGCCCAGGAACCAUCCUCAGAUCCUGAGCCUGCAAAUCCCCCUCAUGAGUGGAUUCAAUCAACAGUGAGCCCCUGUCUAGCCCCCAGAUCCACCUCCAUCACCUUCCUGUUGGGCAUCAGCCCACCUUCCCCAGCACUAAAGAGCACGGGCAGACCCAGCCAGCUGGGUUUCUGCAUCAUGAAGAAAAUAAAACCCUAGGCUUGAAUACCCAGGGCUCUGUGUGUGAAGCUGACAGACCUGAGACAGCAGAGGUCAGCAGUGGGGAGGGCGGGUCAUCCUCCCAGGGGACAGAGUGCACCAGCCUUGCUACUGAAAGAGCCU